rnacentral:lncRNA from 1 species
UAACAAAUACAACAGCGGUUAAAUAAUAAAUUAACAAUAUUUACAUUUUAUAUAAUUAUAAAAAUAUCAAAAAUCAUAAUAUUAUAAUAAAUAUGAAAAUUAUAUUUAGAAAGUUAUAGUUCAAAUUUUUUAAAAUUAUAGAAAAUAUUUUUAUUUUUAAAAUUUUAUAAUAUUAAUUAAAACAUAAUAGAUAUAUUUUAGUUUUUAAUAAUUCGAUUUUAAAAAAUUUAUUGAAUAUUUUUAUUUUUGUAUUUAUAUGGUUUUAAAAAAAAAAAAAUUAUCC